rnacentral:rRNA from 1 species
UUGACCCACGUCUGACAAAUUCGACCUCAAAUCAGGUAGGACUACCCGCUGAACUUAAGCAUAUCAAUA